UACGUAGGGUGCAAGCGUUGUCCGGAAUUAUUGGGCGUAAAGAGCUCGUAGGCGGUCUGUCGCGUCUGGUGUGAAAAUCCAGGGCUUAACCCUGGACCUGCAUUGGGUACGGGCAGACUAGAGUGCGGUAGGGGAGACUGGAAUUCCUGGUGUAGCGGUGAAAUGCGCAGAUAUCAGGAGGAACACCGGUGGCGAAGGCGGGUCUCUGGGCCGUAACUGACGCUGAGGAGCGAAAGCGUGGGGAGCGAACAGG
rnacentral:rRNA from 1 species